AUGCAGCACCGGGAACUCCAUCGACACGGCCGCGGCACCGCCGUUCCCGAACGCCGCCGUGCGGUUGGUGUGCGGCGUAACGUGAUGGCAAGCGUGACGGCGGACCGCACCGGAGCCUACACCAUGAACAUGGGUAGGGUCACCUCAUCGCUGCUCGCCCGCAACCAGUGCAAAGUGGUGGUGGUCACCCCAUUAGCCGCGUGCAACGCGUCCCUGGCCAACAUCACCGGGACGCUGGCCGCGCCGGUGCAGCUCGUGAGUAUUGGUGCUGACCUCCCUAUUAACAACGACGCCGAGAACCUCAUCGGCGGCAUCGUCUAG
rnacentral:rRNA from 1 species